rnacentral:misc_RNA from 1 species
GUGAUAAAAGAGUUUGUAGCCAAGGAAGGGGAGACUGUUGAACCAGGAACUAAGGUUGCUGUUAUUUCAAAGUCUGGCGAAGGUGUAGCCCAUGUAGCUCCCUCUGAGAAAAUAACAAAGAAAGCUGCUCCUAAUAAGGAAUCUGCUCCUCAAGAAAAGAAAGAGGAAAAGCCUAAAGUUGAAACUGGUCCCACAACAGAGAAGCCUAAAACACAAGCACCAGCACCACGUAAACCCUCUGCUACAGAACCUCAGCUUCCCCCUAAGGAAAGAGAAAGACGAGUUCCUAUGACAAGGCUCCGAAAAAGGGUUGCAACCCGAUUGAAGGACUCUCAAAACACAUUUGC